rnacentral:piRNA from 1 species
UACCACAUGCUGUCACAAUUUACAACAAUC